AGACCGUAGAUGAAUAUUCAGAGUGGUAUUUAUAAUUUCUAAAUAAUAAGUUUGUUUUUGUUGUAAGUUAAUUUUUUUUUUUUCAUAUUUUGUGUAUAAUAUUAAUAAUAAUACAUUAAUGCUAACAUAAUUAGCAAUUAUUUCUAGUGUUAUGCAUGUUAAUGGAUGAAGUAUAGAAACAGGUACAGAUCUUUAUAGAUAGUUUUUUCAUAUUCAUAUUCUUCAUUACAUCGUGAAAUUUAACAUUUUUACAUGUUAUAAUGAAUACUGUACAAGUAUGUGCGGUACAAAUCCAUCAUACAAAUGCUUUGUGAUUUAACCGACAAAUUGAUUGAUAGUCAAAGCAAACCAACACAAUUACAGUCCCGUCUUUUGACUUACGUAAUGAAAUUGAAGCAUCAGCCACGUUCCCCGCUAAUACAACUGCAUAUGCUCUUCUAAUUUCAGACAAUUUAUGAAUAUUGACGGCAGCGCAAUAAAAACGUUGGACUUGUUGUGGAAUCCAUGUGAAGAUUAUUAUCAAUACAAAUAUAAUAACAUCGAAUCAAGUAAACAAUCAAUUUCUAAACGUACAAUAUUAUCUACUAUAGCGACAAUAUUUGACUUACCGAGCACGCGAGUUACAAGUUUCGACAAAACAUUUUAUGCAACUGUCGUGGAUUUUUGUGGGCCUAUCUAUUUUAAAAAUAGUUUACGACGGAACUCUACUAAAAUAAAGGAAUAUGUAUGUAUUUUCGUGCGCUUUUCAUGUAAGGCCGUUCAUAUUGAACUAGUUGGUAACUUAACAACAAAUGCGUUUUUAAAUGCGCUGAAACGAAUGUGGUGUCGUCGGGGUAUCGAAAAAUUUAUAUAUUCAGAUAACGCCACAAAUUUCGCAGGAAGCAACAAUAAAUUGAAGGAAUUAAAAAAUUUAUUUUGAUCAAAAAAACACCAAGCUGUAAAAAAUUGCCUUGCCUCUGUCAAUGUGGAAUGACGAUUCAUUCCAGCCCGUUCACCACACUUUGGCGGUUUAUGGGAGUCGGCAGUGAAAUCAGUAAAGGGACAUUUAACGAGAACAUUAGGUGAAGCAUCACUUACUUUUGAAGAGUUAAACACUGUAUUAGUUCGCAUCGAAGCGCGUUUAAACUUACGACCCUUGAUACCAUUAUCUACGGAUCCUUCAGAUCUUAGUGCACUAACUCCAGCUCACUUUCUCAUCGGUCGAUCAUUAAUUGAUAUCCCAGAUCCAGACGUUAUAAACAUCACACCUGGGCGAUUAAAACGAUGGCAAAGAGUCACACAAUUGGUACAACAAGUUUGGGAACGUUGGCGAACUGAAUACUUGUCAACAUUGCAAUCAAAAUUUAUGUGGCACACCUCAGCCGAUCUCACACCAGCUGUUGGUGCACUUGUCUUAAUUGGAUCUUAUAAGUGUAAAAUGGUAGCCGGUAUGUUAGCGCGAGACAUAAUAUAAUAUUGUAUUUUUACCUUUGUUUAUCUGGUCAGCAAUGUGUCUAUUGUAGUAUAAGUCUAAUCAGUGUACGUUCCACUGCUGAACCAUCAGCGACGCGCUCUAAGUCACAUUUAUAUUUAAAUAUUUUCAUUUAAGUUUAAA